GAGGGUAUGGUUCAGUGGUAGAGUGUGUGCUUAGCAUGCAUGAAGUCCUGGGUUCAAUCCCCAGUACUGCCA
rnacentral:tRNA from 1 species